rnacentral:piRNA from 1 species
UACCACCUCUGUAGUUAGCAUUCCAAUAG